AGACCCGAAACCCGGUGAUCUAGCCAUGGGCAGGUUGAAGGUUGGGUAACACUAACUGGAGGACCGAACCGACUAAUGUUGAAAAAUUAGCGGAUGACCUGUGGCUGGGGGUGAAAGGCCAAUCAAACCGGGAGAUAGCUGGUUCUCCCCGAAAGCUAUUUAGGUAGCGCCUCGUGAAUUCAUCUCCGGGGGUAGAGCACUGUUUCGGCUAGGGGGCCAUCCCGGCUUACCAACCCGAUGCAAACUGCGAAUACCGGAGAAUGUUAUCACGGGAGACACACGGCGGGUGCUAACGUCCGUCGUGAAGAGGGAAACAACCCAGACCGCCAGCUAAGGUCCCAAAGUCAUGGUUAAGUGGGAAACGAUGUGGGAAGGCCCAGACAGCCAGGAUGUUGGCUUAGAAGCAGCCAUCAUUUAAAGAAAGCGUAAUAGCUCACUGGUCGAGUCGGCCUGCGCGGAAGAUGUAACGGGGCUAAACCAUGCACCGAAGCUGCGGCAGCGACGCUUAUGCGUUGUUGGGUAGGGGAGCGUUCUGUAAGCCUGCGAAGGUGGCCUGUGAGGGUUGCUGGAGGUAUCAGAAGUGCGAAUGCUGACAUAAGUAACGAUAAAGCGGGUGAAAAGCCCGCUCGCCGGAAGACCAAGGGUUCCUGUCCAACGUUAAUCGGGGCAGGGUGAGUCGACCCCUAAGGCGAGGCCGAAAGGCGUAGUCGAUGGGAAACGGGUUAAUAUUCCCGUACUUGGUGUUACUGCGAAGGGGGGACGGAGAAGGCUAUGUUGGCCGGGCGACGGUUGUCCCGGUUUAAGCGUGUAGGUGUGUGUUCCAGGUAAAUCCGGUUCACUUUAACACUGAGGCGUGACGACGAGGCACUACGGUGCUGAAGCAACAAAUGCCCUGCUUCCAGGAAAAGCCUCUAAGCAUCAGGUAACAUCAAAUCGUACCCCAAACCGACACAGGUGGUCAGGUAGAGAAUACCAAGGCGCUUGAGAGAACUCGGGUGAAGGAACUAGGCAAAAUGGUGCCGUAACUUCGGGAGAAGGCACGCUGACACGUAGGUGAAGUGAUUUACUCAUGGAGCUGAAGUCAGUCGAAGAUACCAGCUGGCUGCAACUGUUUAUUAAAAACACAGCACUGUGCAAACACGAAAGUGGACGUAUACGGUGUGACGCCUGCCCGGUGCCGGAAGGUUAAUUGAUGGGGUCAGCGCAAGCGAAGCUCCUGAUCGAAGCCCCGGUAAACGGCGGCCGUAACUAUAACGGUCCUAAGGUAGCGAAAUUCCUUGUCGGGUAAGUUCCGACCUGCACGAAUGGCGUAAUGAUGGCCAGGCUGUCUCCACCCGAGACUCAGUGAAAUUGAACUCGCUGUGAAGAUGCAGUGUACCCGCGGCAAGACGGAAAGACCCCGUGAACCUUUACUAUAGCUUGACACUGAACAUUGAGCCUUGAUGUGUAGGAUAGGUGGGAGGCUUUGAAGUGUGGACGCCAGUCUGCAUGGAGCCGACCUUGAAAUACCACCCUUUAAUGUUUGAUGUUCUAACGUGGACCCGUGAUCCGGGUUGCGGACAGUGUCUGGUGGGUAGUUUGACUGGGGCGGUCUCCUCCUAAAGAGUAACGGAGGAGCACGAAGGUUGGCUAAUCCUGGUCGGACAUCAGGAGGUUAGUGCAAUGGCAUAAGCCAGCUUGACUGCGAGCGUGACGGCGCGAGCAGGUGCGAAAGCAGGUCAUAGUGAUCCGGUGGUUCUGAAUGGAAGGGCCAUCGCUCAACGGAUAAAAGGUACUCCGGGGAUAACAGGCUGAUACCGCCCAAGAGUUCAUAUCGACGGCGGUGUUUGGCACCUCGAUGUCGGCUCAUCACAUCCUGGGGCUGAAGUAGGUCCCAAGGGUAUGGCUGUUCGCCAUUUAAAGUGGUACGCGAGCUGGGUUUAGAACGUCGUGAGACAGUUCGGUCCCUAUCUGCCGUGGGCGCUGGAGAACUGAGGGGGGCUGCUCCUAGUACGAGAGGACCGGAGUGGACGCAUCACUGGUGUUCGGGUUGUCAUGCCAAUGGCACUGCCCGGUAGCUAAAUGCGGAAGAGAUAAGUGCUGAAAGCAUCUAAGCACGAAACUUGCCCCGA
rnacentral:rRNA from 1 species